rnacentral:rRNA from 1 species
UUUCCAGACUCCUACGGGAGGCAGCAGUGAGGAAUAUUGGUCAAUGGGCGAGAGCCUGAACCAGCCAAGUCGCGUGAGGGAGUACUGCCCUAUGGGUUGUAAACCUCUUUUGUCGGGGAGCAAAAGCCGGACGUGUCCGGCUGUGAGAGUACCCGAAGAAAAAGCAUCGGCUAACUCCGUGCCAGCAGCCGCGGUAAUACGGAGGAUGCGAGCGUUAUCCGGAUUUAUUGGGUUUAAAGGGUGCGUAGGCGGGCUUUUAAGUCAGCGGUAAAAAUUCGGGGCUCAACCCCGUCCGGCCGUUGAAACUGGGGGCCUUGAGUGGGCGAAAAGAAGGCGGAAUGCGUGGUGUAGCGGUGAAAUGCAUAGAUAUCACGCAGAACCCCGAUUGCGAAGGCAGCCUUCCGGCGCCCUACUGACGCUGAGGCACGAAAGUGCGGGGAUCGAACAGGAUUAGAUACCCCGGUAC